rnacentral:rRNA from 1 species
AUUCUAUGCAACGCGAAGAUCCUUACCAAGGCUUGACAUACACGAGAACGGGCCAGAAAUGGUCAACUCUUGGGACACUCGUGAACAGGUGGUGCAUGGUUGUCGUCAGCUCGUGUCGUGAGAUGUUGGGUUAAGUCCCGCAACGAGCGCAACCCUCGUUCUAUGUUGCCAGCACGUAAUGGUGGGAACUCAUGGGAUACUGCCGGGGUCAACUCGGAGGAAGGUGGGGAUGACGUCAAAUCAUCAUGCCCCUUAUGUCUUGGGCUUCACGCAUGCUACAAUGGCCGGUACAAUGGGCUGCGAUACCGUAAGGUGGAGCGAAUCCCAAAAAGCCGGUCCCAGUUCGGAUUGAGGUCUGCAACUCGACCUCAUGAAGUCGGAGUCGCUAGUAAUCGCAGAUCAGCAACGCUGCGGUGAAUACGUUCCCGGGUCUUGUACACACCGCCCGUCAAGUCAUGAAAGUCGGUAACACCUGAAGCCGGUGGCCUAACCCCUUGUGGGAGGGAGCUGUCGAAGGUGGAUCGAAGGC